AGAUUGAACGCUGGUCGGCAUGCCUAACACAUGCAAGUCGAGCGGGCAGCGCGGGGCAACCCUGGCGGCGAGCGGACGGACGGGUGAGUAAGGCAUCGGAAUCUGCCCUAGAUGUUGGGGGAUAACGUAGGGAACUUACGCUAAUACCGCAUACGACCGAGAGGUGAAAGCGGGGGACCGAAAGGCCUCGCGCAGCAGGAUGGGCCGAUGUCCGAGUUAGCUGGUUGGUGGGGUAAAGGCCUUACCAAGGCGACGAUCGGUAGCU
rnacentral:rRNA from 1 species